rnacentral:rRNA from 1 species
UGAGUAACGCGUGAGGAACCUGCCUCAAAGAGGGGGACAACAGUUGGAAACGACUGCUAAUACCGCAUAAGCCCACGGCUCGGCAUCGAGCAGAGGGAAAAGGAGCAAUCCGCUUUGAGAUGGCCUCGCGUCCGAUUAGCUAGUUGGUGAGGUAACGGCCCACCAAGGCGACGAUCGGUAGCCGGACUGGGAGGUUGAACGGCCACAUUGGGACUGAGACACGGCCCAG